rnacentral:rRNA from 1 species
AUUGAACGCUGGCGGCAGGCCUAACACAUGCAAGUCGAGCGCGCGGCGGACGGGUGAGUAAUGUCUGGGAAACUCCCUGAUGGCGGGGGAUAACUACUGGAAACGGUAGCUAAUACCGCAUACCUUACGAUUUGCCCAGAUGGGAUUAGCUAGUAGGUGGGGUAAUGGCUUACCAAGGCGACGGUCCCUAGCUGGUCUGAGAGGAUGACCGGCCACACUGGAACUGAGACACGGUCCAGACUCCUACGGGAGGCAGCAGUGGGGAAUAUUGCACAAUGGGCGCAAGCCUGAUGCAGCCAUGCCGCGUGUGUGAAGAAGGCCUUCGGGUUGUAAAGCACUUUCAGCGAGGAGGCGUUACUCGCAGAAGAAGCAACGGCUAACUCCGUGCCAGCAGCCGCGGUAAUUC